UAUACGUUUAUAGGCUUGUCCCUAGUUAACAGCUACGUGAAAAUAUUUCUGGCAAGGGCAGAGGGGAACUCCAAGCUUAACUACUACUGUCCCACUACAUUGCCAGGGAGCCAUGAUGUUGGGCCGUCUUGCAGCGCUUCUUGUCCUUGUAGUAUCUUGCAAAGCCCAAGAGGAAUUGAAGCUGACCCUGGCCAACAACCGCUUCGGUCUUCGGCUAUUCCACGCUCUGCCAAGUGCUGCGGAAGUCAAUGUCUUCUUCUCGCCUUACAGCGUUUCGACGGGCAUGGGGAUGACGUACGCUGGAGCCAGGAGAGACACAGCAGAGGAACUCUUCCAAGGCCUGGGUUACUCAGCGUCCGGACUUACGGCUCCGCAAGUUUUAGACUCGUACGCCCGCCACACUCAGCGGCUCUUGUCUUCAGAGUCGCAAUCAACCCUCAAGGUUGCCAACGGUGUGGCUAUCUAGGAGAAUCUGACCCUCCUGGACUCGUUCCGGAACACGCUGGAAAGCUCCUUCAACGCCGAAGUGUAUCAAGUUGACCUCGUGCAUAGGCAACAGGACGCCUUCGAAUUCCUUAACCGAUGGGUAAAACGAAAAACGUCAGAUAAAAUUGACAAACUAUUUGACGAGCCUCUUUCACCGUCGACAAAGCUUGUCUUGCUGAACGCCAUUUAUUUUAAAGGCGUAUGGAAUACGCAGUUUCACCGGGACUUCACUCAAAAGAGGCAGUUUUGGAACGGUGGCGUCUCUCCUACCCUAGUCGACACCAUGAUGCAGAAUAUGUACGUUGGCUACGGCUCUUUCGGCGACUUAGAUGUGGACGUUGCUGAACUGCCGUACCGCGGUCGUGACUACAGCAUGGUCAUCCUGCUACCAAAACGAAACAAUGGUGUUGACAAACUCAAGGGGAACCUCACCGUGGAAAUUAUGAGGAGUCUACUCUCCGAACUUCGAGAGCGGGAUGUUGUCGUCUUCUUACCAAAGUUCAAACUGGAGAGUACAUACCAGCUGGAAGGCCCCUUGAAAGCCCUAGGAAUAAGGCAGAUCUUCAGCAAUGGCGCCGACCUGUCCGGAAUCAGCGACAGAAAUUUGCGCGUCUCGGCCGUCGUCCACAAGGCGGUUCUGGAGGUGAGCGAAGAAGGCAGCAAAGCGUCUUCAGCCACGGGUUUCCUCGUCGAGCCCGGCAGUGGCAUGCCGGUGGAGUUUGUCGCUGACCAUCCGUUCCUCCUGUUCAUACGGAACACGAGAACGAACGACAUAAUCUUUGCUGGUCAAGUCAACAAGCUGUAGAAUGCGUGGUGCAAUAAAAUGAUUCAAACUUUUUA